rnacentral:rRNA from 1 species
UACGUAGGGUGCAAGCGUUGUCCGGAAUUAUUGGGCGUAAAGAGCGUGUAGGCGGUCCGGUAAGUCAGCUGUGAAAGUCAAGGGCUCAACCCUUGAAUGCCGGUUGAUACUGUCGGGCUAGAGUCCGGAAGAGGCGAGUGGAAUUCCCGGUGUAGCGGUGAAAUGCGCAGAUAUCGGGAGGAACACCAAUGGCGAAGGCAGCUCGCUGGGACGGUACUGACGCUGAGACGCGAAAGCGUGGGGAGCAAACAGG